UCUCCGUAGGUGAACCAGCGGAGGGAUCAUUACAGAGUUCAUGCCCUCCGGGUAGUUCUCCCACCCAUUUCUAUCACUACUCUCCGUGCUUUGGCGGGCCGCUGGGCCGUGCCCGGCCUCCGGACCUGGCUGCCGCCCCGCCGCCAGAUACCUGGCAGACUCUGAAAGUUAUUAUCGUCCGAAUAACGAUAUAAUUGUUAAAACCUUCAACAAAGGAUCUCGUGGUUCUGACAUCCAUGCAGAACACAGCAAAUCGGAAGAGCACACCUCGGAACUCCA
rnacentral:misc_RNA from 1 species